rnacentral:lncRNA from 1 species
GGGUUCAACAGGGACCAUCCCUCAGAACACCUACAAGUGGCUUCUCUAGCAUGGAGCCUCAGACUUCUGUAUCUCAGGGAUCCCAGGAAGAUGAUUCUAUGAGUGAAAGUUGUAAGCCCUUCCUAUGAGACAGUUUCAGAUUCCGUUCUUUUGUGACAUUGCAUUAAUCAACAAGUCAUCAAAUUCAACUCAGACUCAAAGAGAGAGGAAUUCUAUUCCACCUCUUAGUGAGACAAGUAGCAAGGAAUUUGUGGCCAUCUUUAAUCUAUUACAUAGAUUUCUAAGUCAAAAUGUUUUGACCAAAGCCACAUUUGCCGGAUAUUGAGAGAUGCCACUGCUCUCACUCUGAAGCCUGAAUCUCAAGGGGUCCAAGAUGUCAGUGCUGCUGGAAUUUUGGACAGCCUAUUACUGUGGAAAUGUGUUGAAACAAUAUAAAUCAGAAAUGAAGAAAUAUAGCCAGCAUACAGGAACAAGGGGACAGGAAAGUGGGAGCCACCUGCUCAGGAGAACACAGGAGAGUCCUGAGGUUCCUGUGCUGAAGAAAUGGAUCAAUCUAUUCAGGAAACAGCUAUCAGUUGGACAUUCCUAAGGGAAAACUGCAGGAGAGUGGGACUUUCUGCUGAUAUGGAAAUACUGUAUAGAGCUCUCGGGCUGCUGCUGAAGAAGAAAGAUUUGCUAAAUUUAAAUGGUUAUUCUCACUUUCUUAUGAAGUUAAUUGUAGAAGGAAGAUAAUGAC